AGAGUCAACAAGCCAAGACCCUGUAAAAAAAUUCACAUGUUUAAAUACCAAAGCCAUAAAACAUUCACCCAAAAAAGGAGGAAACAUCAGGUAAAACGGAAGGCCGUAUAGAAUCUGGCAGUUCCUUAAUCCAAACUGACACAACACCACCUUCAAGUAGCCAUUAAUAGCCCUUUUCCUCUAUAAAUCUAUGAAAUCGAAUUGGAUUGCUUAU
rnacentral:misc_RNA from 1 species